rnacentral:sRNA from 1 species
UGACAGAAGGCACACCGUGGGCCUCCCACCGC